ensembl:lncRNA
GUUAGCUGGGAGGUUUUUUCAGUUGGUUAUAUUCACGGAAAUGCAUGUGGAAGUGGAAAUAUUUGGUCCAUAGUUCAUGGCAGGCCUUCCAGUGGUUGUCGAAAUGGUUCCUCGAAAUCCUGUCACUCAAAGCCACAAAUGCAAUCUUGAUUAUGGUGCUAGAGGAAAAGUAAGAAGACCACCAAAGAAAAUGUGUAGUUUUCCCCAGAGACUGAUAACCAACCGGCCCAACAUGUCGAUAACCACUGCUCAUCUACAAUCACAAUGAACACCGGUGUACCACAAGGCUGUGUGAUGAGCCCUUUCUUCUCCUCCCUCUUCACCCACGACUGCAGACCUACCGAUGGUUCCAACACCAUCAUUAAGUUUGCAGAUGACACCACGGUGAUUGGCCUCAUCAAUGACAACGAUGAGGCCGCCUACAGGGAGGAGGUGGAUCGUCUGGCUGAGUGGUGCGACGUAAACAACUUGCUGCUCAACACAGAGAAGACCAAGGAGCUCAUCGUGGACUACAGGAGGAAUGCUGACCC